GCAUGUUUGUCUUAUGUCAGGAAAUAUGUUCCCAAACACUUGUGGGUGCCAGGUCCGAUGUGCACACCGAAGACACAGUGCUGACUAAGCCCUCUCCCUGCCCCUUUAAGAAGCUCUCCAUGGACAAAACUGUACUGAUGUCUGGUCACAACUGUGGAACGCAAAGUGGCAAGGAGGCGCCAAGACCCUGAAGUAAAACACGAAGAGUGACAGGAGAUUGUGUGUGUCAACUUGGCUGAGCCAAGGUGUGCUUAGGUGUGCAGUGAUGUGACGUCUGAGUGUGUGGGAGCCUCUGGAGUAGAUCAGUGUUGGAACCAGUAGGUUGAGUGGAGCAGACUGUUCUUCCUGCGGACGGGUUGUGCUCUGUCUACUGGAGCCUUGAAUAGAGCAUCCAGGAAGAGGAAGGGGAAAUUAAGCUCUUUGUCUGGCUGUCCCUAAACUGAGAUCGAUCUCUCCUUUUGCCCUUAGACUGGCAUGUAGACCAGCCGCCUUCCUGGGCCUCCAGUUUACAGAGGCAGAUGGUGCGGCUUCUUCACACGAGUUAAUUCCUCCUAAUCAGUCUAUAUCCCCUCCACAGUCUUCUCUACCAUCUCUAUCACCUCUGUCAUCUCUACAGUCCCCAUCAUCUCCAUCAUCUCCACCAUCUCUAUUUCUAUCUCAAUUGUCUUCAUCUCCAGCCUCUCUGUCUCCAUUAUCUCUAGCUCAUCUAUCUUUAUUUCUGCCUCUAUCAUCUCUAUAUCUCUGUUAUUUCCAUUUCUAGCUCUGUCAUCUCCAGCUCUAGUAUCCCUAUCUUACUUUCAUCUCUAUCUAUCUCUACCAUCUAUCUCUCCUGUUCUUAUUUCUCUGGAGAACUCUGACUAAUAUGCAGGAUAUAGGAAUACUGUACAGUAUAGGGAUAUUUGAGUUGGGUUUUGAGGGGUGUAUAGGAGUUUUAAAGGCAGGUAAGUUACGAAAGAUAUUGUAGGCAGAAGGAACAGAAUGUAUAUUAUUAUUUAUUAUUAUUUAAAUUUUUUUUGGUCUUUUUGAGACAGAGUCCCCCUUUAGUCCCAGCUGGCUUGGAACUCAUUGUGUAGACCAGGCUGACCUUGACCUCACAAAGACCUACCUGCAUCUGCCUCCCGAGUGCUGGGAUUAAAGGGAAGCUUCCAGAAGUACAGGAGACUGAAAUAGCUGAAGAUGGUCAUAACUCUUCCUAAAGUCGUGGGGUCACCCUGGACCAUCCCAGCUCUCAUGGUGCCUAAAACUGUGAGACAGAGACAGAUGCACAGAGAAAACCGGGUCACUGUCAUUGUACCUGGCAAGCUCUACGCCGCAACAGAAGACACAGUGGGUUGGGCACAGAAACUCAACAGCACCAAAGUCACCCUGAGACAGUGGCUCCUGAGUUCACUGUCUCAUACCAGCGAGGAUUAAAGAUGUGGAUACUCAUGGGGUUCGGCAAAGUGGAAACAAGAUUUAAGAAGGGAAACAAAGGAAAAGUGUGAACUGAAAGAAAAAUAA